rnacentral:rRNA from 1 species
UGGGGAAUUUUGGACAAUGGGCGCAAGCCUGAUCCAGCCAUGCCGCGUGCGGGAAGAAGGCCUUCGGGUUGUAAACCGCUUUUGUCAGGGAAGAAAUCUUCUGAGUUAAUACCCCGGGAGGAUGACGGUACCUGAAGAAUAAGCACCGGCUAACUACGUGCCAGCAGCCGCGGUAAUACGUAGGGUGCAAGCGUUAAUCGGAAUUACUGGGCGUAAAGCGUGCGCAGGCGGUUUUGUAAGACAGAGGUGAAAUCCCCGGGCUCAACCUGGGAACUGCCUUUGUGACUGCAAGGCUUGAGUGCGGCAGAGGGGGAUGGAAUUCCGCGUGUAGCAGUGAAAUGCGUAGAUAUGCGGAGGAACACCGAUGGCGAAGGCAAUCCCCUGGGCCUGCACUGACGCUCAUGCACGAAAGCGUGGGGAGCAAACAGGGUUAGAUACCCUGGUAGUCCACGCCCUAAACGAUGUCAACUGGUUGUUGGGAAGGUUCCUUCUCAGUAACGUAGCUAACGCGUGAAGUUGACCGCCUGGGGAGUACGGCCGCAAGGUUGAAACUCAAAGGAAUUGACGGGGUCAUAGCUGUUU